rnacentral:rRNA from 1 species
GACGAACGCUGGCGGCGUGCUUAACACAUGCAAGUCGAACGAACAGGCCCUGCUUUUGUGGCUUGCUCGAGUGGCGCACGCGUGAGUAACACGUGAGUAACCUGCCCUUAUCUUUGUGAUAACUUCUGGAAACUCGGGCUCAUACCCGAUAGGAUCUCCUGCUCCAUGGUGUGGGUUGGAAAGUUUCGGCGGUUGUGGCUGGACUCGCGGGUUAUCCGCUUGUUGGUCUGGUAGUGGCUUACCAAGGCUUUGACGGGUAGCCGGCCUGAGAGGGGUACCGGCGACAAUGGGACUGAGAGACGGCGCAGAAGCGAACGGGAGGCAGCAGUGGGGAGUAUGGCACAAUGGGGGGAAGCGUGAGGUAGAGACGCCGCGUGCGGGAUGACGGGCUACGGGGUGUAAACAGAUUUGGAAGGAAACGAAGAGGGAGUGACGGUAAUGGGUAAAGAAGCAACGGCUAACUACGUG